CGCGGGGUGGAGCAGCCUGGUAGCUCGUCGGGCUCAUAACCCGAAGGUCGUCGGUUCAAAUCCGGCCCCCGNCAACCA
rnacentral:tRNA from 1 species